UCCUACGGGAGGCAGCAGUGGGGAAUUUUCCGCAAUGGGCGAAAGCCUGACGGAGCAACGCCGCGUGCGGGAGGAAGGUUUUAGGACUGUAAACCGCUUUUCUCAGGGAAGAAGUACUGACGGUACCUGAGGAAUAAGCAUCGGCUAAUUCCGUGCCAGCAGCCGCGGUAAU
rnacentral:rRNA from 1 species